rnacentral:rRNA from 1 species
UGAGUAACCUGCCCUUAACUCUGGGAUAAGCCUGGGAAACUGGGUCUAAUACCGGAUAUGACUCCUCAUCGCAUGGUGGGGGGUGGAAAGCUUUAUUGUGGUUUUGGAUGGACUCGCGGCCUAUCAGCUUGUUGGUGAGGUAAUGGCUCACCAAGGCGACGACGGGUAGCCGGCCUAAGAGGGUGACCGGCCACACUGGGACUGAGACACGGCCCAGACUCCUACGGGAGGCAG